GAUGGGUGACCUCCUGGGAAAUCCUCGUGUUGCACCCCU
rnacentral:rRNA from 1 species